GUGCAGUUAACUGCCGUUUGGCUUGGUGUGGUAUAUAGCGUUAUCUCUUUAAAGAUACAGUGCGUAGUUGCUGUCAUUUUAAGUCAUGACAACAAAACUGUCGUUGCACAGCCCCCCACUCCUCCUCCACGCUGUUGCUAGUAGUUUAGCCAAGGAGGACACAGGAUUAAAAAGACACGAUGGACUCUUCAGAAAAGAUUCAGGAGAGAUGCUGUAUCCUCCGCGGACUGAAGAAAAGCAGCUGUGAAGGUGAUGGUGAUCAGUCCUGACAGUGAGUGAUGUUUGAGAGAGAUACGCCUCCUAUCCAAGCUUGACAGUGUGAUUGGAUCCAGUGAGAAUCCCAAUGAAGCAAUGAGUAUCACAGCAGCAGCUCCCCUCCCCCAGUGGCCCCCCAACACUGCCAAGAGGCCAGCCCCAGCCCUGCCAGUUCAGACCAGAUGGAAAUUGAGGCGGGAUGGGAUCUGGGAAGCAACAAAAAAAAGGCAAGUGAACUUUAAACCGUUUUAGCUGCUGUGAAGGUGACUGCGGCAAAACCAGCUGUAAAAUGUGAUCUGAUUAUAAGUGAUAGUGGCAGAUAAUUGUAGAGGCUGUCUGACUGGGGCUCAGUAUGCUGCUCAAAUCAGAUGUGCUGUGUUUGAAUUCAUAAAAACUCUACCCGUGUUUGAAAAUAGUUUGGAUACAUUAAUUGAUAAAGAUCAUAAACAGAAAAUUGCAGCAGUAAGUGACACAUUUUUAUCAAGUUUGU